rnacentral:lncRNA from 1 species
GCGGCCUGGCUGGGAAUUGACGGAGCAAAUGCAAAACUUGCGAUCGCGGUCAUGAUGAUGACCGUCUUGACGACCGAGGUAACGGAAUACGUCGCCCUUACAAAUCCAGAAGACGCACGCUCUCCUAAUCCUCGAUCGACCGUCUCCAUCAACCUUAGCCGACCAGACAGAGAGAGAAAGAGAGAGAGUCAGGCGACGAGUGAAGCGGUUAAAAAUAAAAAUAAAAAGACGCAAACAGUGGAUCUUCCUCCCAUCAUCAGUAAGCCGGCAGCAACGUCAAAGCAAAGCUCAUUAGCCGAAUCUUAGCUGGAUCCACCUUCCCCUCCUCCUCCAUUAUUCAUACUUCCUCCUUCUCCUCCUGCUGUUCCCUGAUCUGAUCUCACCCACCUUCCUCCUCCCUCUCUCUCUCUCUAGCACCUCUCUCUCUUUCUCUCUCUACAGUCCCCACACCAAGCAAGCACCACCACCGCCACCGCCAGUACUGCACUUCUCACUCUCACUCUCCCUUCUCCUCCACUGGAAAGUGAGAGCCCUCACUCCACUCCACAAUGCCCUCCUCCUUUUCCUCCACCAUCUCCACCUUCUUCCUCNNNN